AGAGUUUGAUCCUGGCUCAGGAUGAACGCUGGCGGCGUGCCUAAUACAUGCAAGUCGAGCGAACGGACGAGAAGCUUGCUUCUCUGAUGUUAGCGGCGGACGGGUGAGUAACACGUGGAUAACCUACCUAUAAGACUGGGAUAACUUCGGGAAACCGGAGCUAAUACCGGAUAAUAUUUUGAACCGCAUGGUUCAAAAGUGAAAGACGGUCUUGCUGUCACUUAUAGAUGGAUCCGCGCUGCAUUAGCUAGUUGGUAAGGUAACGGCUUACCAAGGCAACGAUGCAUAGCCGACCUGAGAGGGUGAUCGGCCACACUGGAACUGAGACACGGUCCAGACUCCUACGGGAGGCAGCAGUAGGGAAUCUUCCGCAAUGGGCGAAAGCCUGACGGAGCAACGCCGCGUGAGUGAUGAAGGUCUUCGGAUCGUAAAACUCUGUUAUUAGGGAAGAACAUAUGUGUAAGUAACUGUGCACAUCUUGACGGUACCUAAUCAGAAAGCCACGGCUAACUACGUGCCAGCAGCCGCGGUAAUACGUAGGUGGCAAGCGUUAUCCGGAAUUAUUGGGCGUAAAGCGCGCGUAGGCGGUUUUUUAAGUCUGAUGUGAAAGCCCACGGCUCAACCGUGGAGGGUCAUUGGAAACUGGAAAACUUGAGUGCAGAAGAGGAAAGUGGAAUUCCAUGUGUAGCGGUGAAAUGCGCAGAGAUAUGGAGGAACACCAGUGGCGAAGGCGACUUUCUGGUCUGUAACUGACGCUGAUGUGCGAAAGCGUGGGGGUCAAACAGGAUUAGAUACCCUGGUAGUCCACGCCGUAAACGAUGAGUGCUAAGUGUUAGGGGGUUUCCGCCCCUUAGUGCUGCAGCUAACGCAUUAAGCACUCCGCCUGGGGAGUACGACCGCAAGGUUGAAACUCAAAGGAAUUGACGGGGACCCGCACAAGCGGUGGAGCAUGUGGUUUAAUUCGAAGCAACGCGAAGAACCUUACCAAAUCUUGACAUCCUUUGACAACUCUAGAGAUAGAGCCUUCCCCUUCGGGGGACAAAGUGACAGGUGGUGCAUGGUUGUCGUCAGCUCGUGUCGUGAGAUGUUGGGUUAAGUCCCGCAACGAGCGCAACCCUUAAGCUUAGUUGCCAUCAUUAAGUUGGGCACUCUAAGUUGACUGCCGGUGACAAACCGGAGGAAGGUGGGGAUGACGUCAAAUCAUCAUGCCCCUUAUGAUUUGGGCUACACACGUGCUACAAUGGACAAUACAAAGGGCAGCGAAACCGCGAGGUCAAGCAAAUCCCAUAAAGUUGUUCUCAGUUCGGAUUGUAGUCUGCAACUCGACUACAUGAAGCUGGAAUCGCUAGUAAUCGUAGAUCAGCAUGCUACGGUGAAUACGUUCCCGGGUCUUGUACACACCGCCCGUCACACCACGAGAGUUUGUAACACCCGAAGCCGGUGGAGUAACCUUUUAGGAGCUAGCCGUCGAAGGUGGGACAAAUGAUUGGGGUGAAGUCGUAACAAGGUAGCCGUAUCGGAAGGUGCGGCUGGAUCACCU
rnacentral:rRNA from 1 species